ACUGAGACACGGCCCAGACUCCUACGCGAGGCAGCAGUAGGGAAUAAUCCGCAAUGGACGAAAGUCUGACGGAGCAACGCCGCGUGAACGAUGAAGGUCUUCGGAUCGUAAAGUUCUGUUGUUAGGGAAGAACAAGUACCGUGCGAAUAGAGCGGUACCUUGACGGUACCUAACGAGGAAGCCCCGGCUAACUACGUGCCAGCAGCCGCGGUAAUACGUAGGGGGCAAGCGUUGUCCGGAAUUAUUGGGCGUAAAGCGCGCGCAGGCGGUUCCUUAAGUCUGAUGUGAAAGCCCACGGCUCAACCGUGGAGGGUCAUUGGAAACUGGGGAACUUGAGGACAGAAGAGGAGAGUGGAAUUCCACGUGUAGCGGUGAAAUGCGUAGAUAUGUGGAGGAACACCAGUGGCGAAGGCGACUCUCUGGUCUGUUUCUGACGCUGAGGUGCGAAAGCGUGGGUAGCAAACAGGAUUAGAUACCCUGGUAGUCCACGCCGUAAACGAUGAGUGCUAGGUGUUAGGGGGCUUCCACCCCUUAGUGCUGAAGUAACGCAUAAGCAC
rnacentral:rRNA from 1 species